GCUCUUAGAAUUAGCAAAUCAACUGUGCCAUCAUCUCUGGAAUUUGGGCAGGAAAUGACCGAAUUCGGAGGAUGAAGCCAGUUGAUGAAGAGAUAAAUUCAAUGGCCAUCAGGUAUCUGCUGUGAAGACUGCAUUGGCGGACAGCUCUACUGUGACAGCUCAGAUGUUAUGGCGCAUAAAAGUAAACUUCACAACUGAUCAACAAGAGUUGUGGAGGGAUUCUUUUGGCCCAUACCUCCAACAAGAAUCAAUGGACAUCUACAUCAGGUGGUGUGUGAGGAAAGCACAGAGGACCAUCAGAGACUCCAGCCUGCAUGGAUCACUCUCAUUGUUACCAUCAGGCAUACGUUAUUGCAGAAUCUACACCAGCAGACUGCGAGAUAAGUUCUUUCCACAGGCAAUCGGACUGAAUUGAACUCAUACCAGUAACACCACACACAGCACAUCAACCUCAUAUGUACUGCACUCUAACAGUUACACUGUCUGCACUCUGACUCACUAUUAUUCUGCACCCUGACAUUCUGUUUGCACUAAUUUACAUUUAAAUUUACUAAUUUAAAUUUACAUUUGUGUCUUCAUUUACUGUCAUCGCUGUAUUCUUGCUCCUGAUCUAAUGAAUUCAGUGGAGCCCUUUUCAAAUGGGAACUGUCUAAUUCUUAUUCUAAGAUAACCAUGACUUGCAACUUACAUAUUGGCAAGUUGGUGAAAAGACAAUCUCAAAAAUGUGACUCAACACAGUGUGUUGUCGAUGAGGAGAAGAGAUUUGUGUACAUUUUACUGCCCUUCCAUCUCUAGGGGCCCAGUAGAGUCCCCUGGAAGAGCAAAAAAUAAAAAAUUAAUAUUUCAAAUGGCUGUAAAUCAGUGUCUGAUUAUAAUGACAAAGAGAAAACUGGCAGGACAACUACGUAUGCUAUGUUAAUUACAUAAUGUUUUAAAACGUCUAUGGAAAGGUGGUAUAAAGGUGUUUUAAAUAGUGGUCUAAGUAAAAUACCAAAUUUCAGCCUGCCUCUUGAAUAUGCCAUAGAUGUUUGCACAAUGAACAUGUUUAGAUAAGCUUUGUUCAAAAAAAGAUUGUAUUUUCCCCCAUUUUAUAAUUAAACAUUCUAAACUACAUUACCCAUAAGCCUCUGCCAUUCUAUCGAUGGAAAGCAAAAAAAGAUGGCGCUGUUAUUUGUAGUUUAAUGAAGAUAUGCUUAGGGUUAGGGUUACAAUCUCUGUAAAGUGGCAAUUUCUCACCACAUAGUAACACUGUAUUGUUAACUGAGGGUAUUACAGACGUAAUAAUAACUGCAAAACGGACUUUGCAACAUCAAGCAUUUUUUAAUUUG